CCUGCCCAUGGAAAAGGGUGGCACUGGAUGGGAUUUAAGGUCCCUUCCAAUCCAAACCAUUCCAUAAUUCCCUGACUCUCAGGGUGGUGCCGUUGUCCCUUGAAGAAGGAAAACCAAGGCACAGCCAAGGGACAAAACUGUGCCCAUUUCCCUGCAAGAAAGCAGUGGGAUGAAAAAGCUGAGCCUGCAACAAAUCUUAAAUAAAGAAACAGAUAAAAAAAUAAACCAGGAGGAAGUGGAUCUUACAGAUCACAAGUGAAAAAUAUUUACCUUGAAGUACAAACCCCAUUCCCAAAGCUGCUUCCCAAAGCCCAGAGGCUGAUAAGAGCGUUUGGGUAGGAAGAAAUAAAAUCAAGGCACAGUGGAAGUUGGAAGGCAGCAGCAAUAAAUUCUGAGCAAAUUAAAGCAGAAUUAUUUAUAGAGACAAAAGUCCUUCCUGAUCCUUUUAGAGCAGGAGCCUGCACCACUUGUUCUGUGACAUCCACCCAGGCAAGGAUUUAUCCCUAAAGCAAUUAAAGUUGCAAAUAUUUCAACUACAGCCACAUCUCUUUGACACCAGCACCACACACCCCACAAGUUCAAAGAGAAUUUGGCAGAGUCCAACUAUGGGUGUGCAUUAAAAGCUCCUCAGAUCUGGACUGGCACCUCUCACUUGUUUUUCAGAAUAAUCUCUUUUAUUUUUUAGGUGCCCAGCACUUCCAGAAUUCUGGGAGAAGCAAUCAAAACUCAAACAUCCAAAAAGAGUGUGGAGUCAAACUUCAGCUGAGAAUAUUCUCUUGAAAAUCUGCUAGCAGGGAAUCCACGGGCUGUGGGGCAUAAAAUUUUUGCUUCAUGUUUCUUUAUCUGGAAAAAUCAAAAGGGGGAUUUGUUUUGAAUUUUGAUUUUCUUAAAAAUCAGCUGGCAAAGGAUUCACCUGCUGAUGUACAAAGAUCAGCCCUGACCACAGGCCCAGCUGGGAUUUAUCCUCAUCUGCUUCCCCUUGUAACCUGUGCUCCUCUACCCAGGCCUGGCAUCACCUGCUUGGAGAACAGCUGGAAUUCCCAUUCCCUCCCCAAAUCUGGCUUUGUCAAUUAAAUAAUAAAAGGUGUUAAAUAGGCAACUUGUUCUUCCUGCAUCUCCCUCAGCUCCUCCCACAGAGCAACCCCAGCCAUGGCAAAUGUUUAUUUUUCAGUCCCUUUGAAGAAGUUUUUUUGGAAAAUCAGUUUAUUUUGGGUGGAGAGCUCAGUGCAGGAGCCAGAACUGGAAAUAUGUGUGCUUUAAUAUAUUUGUUUUGUACUUCUUCCUCUGCUUGAAAAGUUUUUUCUUAGUGAGGGAUGAGAAGAACCAAUGGCUAAAGGAAUCAAUCCACUCCUUGGAACAUUCAGGGUGUAAUCCUUGGUACAGGAUAAACCAGGAAUUAUCCUUAUUUCAACCUUCCAACCAGGACCAGGAAACUGAAGAGCUCAGUCCUGUCAGAGGUGUGCCAGCACUCACCUUGGAAUGUUUUUUCGGACACCAGGAGUCCUGCAUCCACGAACUGCUCACAGGUGCCACUGAAGAGGCCGUACGUGAGGCUGACGGUGACGGUGGAGUUGGUGCGGGAGAACCGAACGUCGCUGCUCACCCACUGCGGGGUCGCCAGCACCACACAGAUCACCACGAAGGAGCUCACACAGCUACCUGUAAAAACAUCAUAAAACCUGGAAUUAAAGCUGUAGCUUGACAGGACACACCUCAUCACUUGAGAGAAAGGAGAAGAGAUUGCUUUCCUCUGACUCAGAGAAAAUAUCUCCUGAUCAGCACCUUAUCAACUCUGCCCCCACGGAUCCUGACUCAGCCCUGCACAGCAAUAGAAGAGAAAAAUCAGAUUAAUUUGUUAUGAACCAGAGGAGCAGCAGAGAGAGCUGGAAUCCUUUGCUACAUAAAAUUACCCAUCAUUUUUAAGGAUUGGUUUUAUGUGAGUAUUUCAAUUCUGUUUAAGUCAGUUUGCUUUAAGCAACCAGGAAUGUAAAAAUACAAAAGGAAAACCUUUAAACUCAAACAUCUCACGCACAUCUAUUUUUUAAUGUUGCAAACACAUUCUUACAUGUGAAAGGAACAAAUCCCAUGGUGGUUUGAUGCCCACAGCUGCAGAAGGAUCAGA